CUGGCGGCGUGCCUAACACAUGCAAGUCGCACGAGAAAGUGGAGCAAUCCAUGAGUAAAGUGGCGUACGGGUGAGUAACACGUGACUAACCUACCCUCGAGUGGGGAAUAACCUCGGGAAACCGGGGCUAAUACCGCAUAACAUCCUCUGGCUGAGAUGCCGGUUGAUCAAAGCAGCAAUGCGUUUGAGGAGGGGGUCGCGGCUGAUUAGCUAGUUGGUGAGGUAACGGCUCACCAAGGCGAUGAUCAGUAGCCGGCCUGAGAGGGCGCACGGCCACACUGGAACUGAAACACGGUCCAGACUCCUACGGGAGGCAGCAGUGGGGAAUUUGCGCAAUGGGGGAAACCCUGACGCAGCAACGCCGCGUGGAGGAUGAAGUCCCUUGGGACGUAAACUCCUUUCGAUCGGGACGAUUAUGACGGUACCGGAAGAAGAAGCCCCGGCUAACUUCGUGCCAGCAGCCGCGGUAAUACGAGGGGGGCAAGCGUUGUUCGGAAUUAUUGGGCGUAAAGGGCGCGUANGCGGUGCGGUAAGUCUGAUGUGAAAUCUCCGGGCUCAACUCGGAGUCUGCAUCAGAAACUGCCGUGCUU
rnacentral:rRNA from 1 species